CAACAUCUCAAGCAAAGUUGGCAGUGCCAUGACUGCUCCCCAGGCUAGUGAAAGUGGAUAAGGUACACAUACUAAACCUAGAGUACUUGAUAAUAGUUUUCACUCUUACUCACAAACACUGGC